rnacentral:rRNA from 1 species
UUUCCGGUUGAUCCUGCCGGACCUGACUGCUAUCGGAUUGAUACUAAGCCAUGCGAGUCUUUGCAGUAAUGCAAGGCAUACGGCUCAGUAACACGUAGUCAACUUACCCUAUGGACGAGGAUAAUCUCGGGAAACUGAGCAUAAUACUCGAUAGAUCAUAAUGCCUGGAAUGGUUUAUGGUUGAAAUGAUUCGUCGCCAUAGGAUGGGACUGCGGCCUAUCAGCUUGUUGGUGAGGUAAUGGCCCACCAAGGCGAUUACAGGUACGGGCUCUGAGAGGAGAAGCCCGGAGAUGGGUACUGAGACAAGGACCCAGGCCCUAUGGGGCGCAGCAGGCGAGAAAACUUUGCAGUGUGCGAAAGCACGACAAGGUUAAUCCGAGUGAUUUCUGCUAAAGAAGUCUUUUGCAAGUCAUAAAACCACUAGUGAAUAAGGGGUGGGCAAGUUCUGGUGUCAGCCGCCGCGGUAAAACCAGCACCUCAAGUGGUCAGGAGGAUUAUUGGGCCUAAAGCAUCCGUAGCCGGCUCUGUAAGUUUUCGGUUAAAUCCAUGUGCUCAACGCAUGGGCUGCCGAAAAUACUGCAUAGCUAGGGAGUGGGAGAGGUAGACGGUACUCGGUAGGAAGGGGUAAAAUCCUUUGAUCUAUCGAUGACCACCUGUGGCGGAGGCGGUCUACCAGAACACGUUCGACGGUGAGGGAUGAAAGCUGGGGGAGCAAACCGGAUUAGAUACCCG